GCGGCAGGCUUAACACAUGCAAGUCGAGCGGGGGAAGGUAGCUUGCUACCGGACCUAGCGGCGGACGGGUGAGUAAUGCUUAGGAAUCUGCCUAUUAGUGGGGGACAACAUCUCGAAAGGGAUGCUAAUACCGCAUACGUCCUACGGGAGAAAGCAGGGGAUCUUCGGACCUUGCGCUAAUAGAUGAGCCUAAGUCGGAUUAGCUAGUUGGUGGGGUAAAGGCCUACCAAGGCGACGAUCUGUAGCGGGUCUGAGAGGAUGAUCCGCCACACUGGGACUGAGACACGGCCCAGACUCCUACGGGAGGCAGCAGUGGGGAAUAUUGGGCAAUGGGGGGAACCCUGAUCCAGCCAUGCCGCGUGUGUGAAGAAGGCCUUAUGGUUGUAAAGCACUUUAAGCGAGGAGGAGGCUACUUUAGUUAAUACCUAGAGAUAGUGGACGUUACUCGCAGAAUAAGCACCGGCUAACUCUGUGCCAGCAGCCGCGGUAAUACAGAGGGUGCGAGCGUUAAUCGGAUUUACUGGGCGUAAAGCGUGCGUAGGCGGCUUAUUAAGUCGGAUGUGAAAUCCCCGAGCUUAACUUGGGAAUUGCAUUCGAUACUGGUGAGCUAGAGUAUGGGAGAGGAUGGUAGAAUUCCAGGU
rnacentral:rRNA from 1 species